rnacentral:rRNA from 1 species
CAUCAGUGUAUAUUAACGUUGUUGCGGUUAAAAAGCUCGUAGUUGGAUUUCGGAGAGAGAAUAUCAAGGACCCACCGAAGAUUUUCGGUGUUAAGGUUCGAUAAGCUCCUCCAAUUGUUUUUUUUUAGGGUAAUGGCCCAGAUUCCUUUGCGGGUUUCUGGUGUGUUUUUUCCGUUCCCUAUCUUUUACUUUGAUAAAAUCAGAGUGUUCAAAGCAGGCGUCACUUGCCUUGAAUGUUUGCCGCAGGGGAUAAUGGAAUAUGACUUCGGUCUUAUUUUGUUGGUUUCUAGGGCUGAAGUAAUGACUAAUAGGGACAGUUGGGGGCGCUCGUAUUGAGUUGUCAGAGGUGAAAUUCUAGGAUUUACUCAAGACGAACUACUGCGAAAGCAUUCGCCAAGGAUGUUUNCAUUAA